UACGGAGGGAGCUAGCGUUGUUCGGAAUUACUGGGCGUAAAGCGCGCGUAGGCGGCUUUGUAAGUUAGAGGUGAAAGCCCGGGGCUCAACCCCGGAAUUGCCUUUAAGACUGCAUCGCUUGAAUCCGGGAGAGGUGAGUGGAAUUCCGAGUGUAGAGGUGAAAUUCGUAGAUAUUCGGAAGAACACCAGUGGCGAAGGCGACACACUGGCCCGUUACUGACGCUGAGGCGCGAAAGCGUGGGGAGCAAACAGG
rnacentral:rRNA from 1 species